rnacentral:misc_RNA from 1 species
AGAAGCUGCUGACAAGUCUGCCUAGGAAAGUGGUUUGAAAUUCUUCAUAUUUGUUCAAGAAUCAGACAUUCAGUACAUUAGAGAGUACAGGCUCUCUUUACUCCGAAGAGGGUUGUCCCGCUUAAUUCUCUCUCCUGAACCUGAGAGUUCUAAUUCUCUCUCCUGAAGCUGAAAGAGUCGCAAUUCCAAACAUAUUUCCUAGGCAGACUUGUCAGCAGCUUCUAUAGCUGAUCUCAGCCAGCGUGCUAAACUGAUCAGGAAUGGAGUAUAAACGAAGUAGCAAGUGAUCGUCCAAGUGACUAACCCCUGACCAAGGAUCUCAAUGUUCGCUUGUGGAUAAUACCAAAGGUGAAAGAACUUCAUAAUGGGAAUUUCAGCCAAUGGACAGCCAAGGCCUACAAUGGAUGCCAGUGUGAAGCCAAGCCACGUUCUGUCCAGGGACAACCAUAUGAUUUCUGCUGCUGCAAAUAAGACGUAGGCCUCAAUGUUGUCUGCUAUUCCAGCUUUAUACAUUUCGGCGCUCAAUUCUAUGAAUAACACAAGUGCUAGUAAAGUAAAAGAUACCUUCUGCAGACUUCCUUCUGGAACCUUUGAAGAAGCUCUUUCAUCCAAGAAGAGUUGUAGCAACCCAACAGUGCAAUAAAAUAACCCAAGUAAGGGAGGAACCCAAAUGUUUGAGUGGAGAGGACCGAUGUUGAUAGACCCAUUUUGAUAGACCACAAGAUUGACCCUUGAAUGAAGUCCGUCGAUGAGGGGACCUAAAAAGAACCCAGAACAGAGAAGCGAGAGACCAACGGAUGGCCAAGUGUUUCUUAGAGUUGAUCUGGUUUGGUCUCUCAAGCUGCAAAGAGGUGUAGACACAAAACGUUUUGGAUACGAACAAGAAUUAUGGCAUUUGUGAAGAAAGCAGGGAGAGCCCCUGAAACCGAAAGCAAGGAGUCCCUGCAUCUUUUCUUCUCCAGAUUCACAUCUUCCCUUACUCCAAUGUUUUCUUUGUAUCGAUC